rnacentral:rRNA from 1 species
GAUGAACGCUGACAGAAUGCUUAACACAUGCAAGUCUACUUGAACUUCGGUUUGGGUGGCGGACGGGUGAGUAACGCGUAAAGAACUUGCCUCACAGUUAGGGACAACAUUUGGAAACGAAUGCUAAUACCUGAUAUUAUGAUUUUAGGGCAUCCUAAAAUUAUGAAAGCUAUAUGCGCUGUGAGAGAGCUUUGCGUCCCAUUAGCUAGUUGGAGAGGUAUCGGCUCACCAAGGCGAUGAUGGGUAGCCGGCCUGAGAGGGUGAAUGGCCACAAGGGGACUGAGACACGGCCCUUACUCCUACGGGAGGCAGCAGUGGGGAAUAUUGGACAAUGGACCAAAAGUCUGAUCCAGCAAUUCUGUGUGCACGAUGACGUUUUUCGGAAUGUAAAGUGCUUUCAGUUGGGAAGAAAAAAAUGACGGUACCAACAGAAGAAGUGACGGCUAAAUACGUG